rnacentral:rRNA from 1 species
AGCAGUCGCCACGGUAAUACGUAGGGUGCAAGCGUUAAUCGGAAUUACUGGGCGUAAAGCGUGCGCAGGCGGUUUGUUAAGACAGAUGUGAAAUCCCCGGGCUCAACCUGGGAACUGCAUUUGUGACUGGCAAGCUAGAGUGUGGCAGAGGGGGGUGGAAUUCCGCGUGUAGCAGUGAAAUGCGUAGAUAUGCGGAGGAACACCGAUGGCGAAGGCAGCCCCCUGGGCCAACACUGACGCUCAUGCACGAAAGCGUGGGGAGCAAACAGGAUUAGAUACCCGCGUAGUCCCUGUCUCUUAUAC